CAACGGAAUCAACAAUUCUUUUAGUUUUUGCUUGUCGAACUCGCGACCGAGAAGCCGUGGAGGACUCAGUGAGGUGGUCUGGUAGCCAUACAGCCUCGGCGAUCCACUAUGCAAAUUGUGCAAGGGGCAUCUACUUGCUAUGGGCAAGGAAGUUGCGUACCGAUGCGUAUUUGAUCAGCUGGCAGCGUUGCCACUCCGUUGCAACAUCAUCCAAGGCGUCAUUUGCUUCAUACGCAGCCUGACUGAGCUCAGGCAGCAAGUGUUUCACUGCGUUCCUGCUUUGCUCGUUCUCCUGUGCCUCGCUCAGGACGGCCUGAAUCAUGGAGACGGAGUUCUGCAGCCUUCCCAGCUCGACAUGGAGGCCGUACACCGUCUGCAACUCCUGGCGCAUGUGAGCCAAAUUGGAAGCCAGGAGUGGCACAACAGCAGUAAGAAACUCCAUCGAAGGCAAAAGGUGAUAAAUUGAAGGUGGAGAGAAGGAGGUUGAUUCCCUGGGAUUGGAAAGGAGAAUCAGAAGCAAGUAAGCAUGGACAUGGACACGGACAUGGCUGGUCAGAAAUUCAGUGCUACUGAACUUGAUAUAAUCUUCAAGAGGAGAGAAGUCAAACAAAUCAUUGUUUAUCCCUUAUUUUUUGAGUUAGGCUAAUGUAGCUUUGAUGAAAUCACACUUACAUCUUAUCACAUACGUAACAAUUUAGGACAUUAGAAAUGCAACUUGAUUGAUUUAUCUGCUUA